GACCUUACAGUGAAAUGCUGAAUACAACAGGUGUAGUAGACCUUACAGUGAAAUGCUGAAUACAACAGGUGUAGUAGACCUGACAGUGAAAUGCUGAAUACAACAGGUGUAGUAGACCUGACAGUGAAAUGCUGAAUACAACAGGUGUAGUAGACCUUACAGUGAAAUGCUGAAUACAACAGGUGUAGUAGACCUUACAGUGAAAUGCUGAAUACAACAGGUGUAGUAGACCUUAUAGUGAAAUGCCGAAUACAACAGGUGUAGUAGACCUCACAGUGAAAUGCUGAAUACAACAGGUGUAGUAGACCUUACAGUGAAAUGCUGAAUACAACAGGUGUAGUAGACCUCACAGUGAAAUGCUGAAUACAACAGUUGUAGUAGACCUUACAGUGAAAUGCUGAAUACAACAGGUGUAGUAGACCUUACAGUGAAAUGCUGAAUACAACAGGUGUAGUAGAUCUUACAGUGAAAUGCCGAAUACAACAGGUGUAGUAGACCUCACAGUGAAAUGCUGAAUACAACAGGUGUAGUAGACCUCACAGUGAAAUGCUGAAUACAACAGGUGUAGUAGACCUCACAGUGAAAUGCUGAAUACAACAGGUGUAGUAGACCUUACAGUGAAAUGCUGAAUACAACAGGUGUAGUAGAUCUUACAGUGAAAUGCUGAAUACAACAGGUGUAGUAGACCUUACAGUGAAAUGCCGAAUACAACAGGUGUAGUAGACCUUACAGUGAAAUGCCGAAUACAACAGGUGUAGUAGACCUUACAGUGAAAUGCCGAAUACAACAGGUGUAGUAGACCUCACAGUGAAAUGCUGAAUACAACAGGUGUAGUAGACCUUACAGUGAAAUGCUGAAUACAACAGGUGUAGUAGACCUUACAGUGAAAUGCCGAAUACAACAGGUGUAGUAGACCUUACAGUGAAAUGCCGAAUACAACAGGUGUAGUAGACCUCACAGUGAAAUGCUGAAUACAACAGGUGUAGUAGACCUUACAGUGAAAUGCUGAAUACAACAGGUGUAGUAGACCUCACAGUGAAAUGCUGAAUACAACAGUUGUAGUAGACCUUACAGUGAAAUGCUGAAUACAACAGGUGUAGUAGACCUCACAGUGAAAUGCUGAAUACAACAGGUGUAGUAGACCUUACAGUGAAAUGCUGAAUACAACAGGUGUAGUAGACCUUACAGUGAAAUGCUGAAUACAACAGGUGUAGUAGACCUUACAGUGAAAUGCUGAAUACAACAGGUGUAGUAGACCUUACAGUGAAAUGCUGAAUACAACAGGUGUAGUAGACCUUACAGAGAAAUGCUGAAUA